GUGGAGGAGAGAGAAUGUGUGCAGCCUCAGAGGGCUGGAGCCACCUGCCAGUUAGGUGUGAUGGUCUUCAGCUGUCCUUGUACGGCACACGGUGAUGGCAGCAGCCUCCGACUGGGGUCGGAGCCAGUGGCCCGAGAACCUCUCAGCUCAGGGGAGGCGACCGAGUCAGGGAUCACAGGACCCUCUGAGCCAGCCGGGCGUCCUUCCUUGGCAUCGAAGAUGGAUUCACAUCCCCAGCUGUGGGAAAGAUAAGUGGAGGGCUCCCACCUGGAGAGGGGAUGGGAGCUGGGUCCAGUUUUAUGGUUAGGAGGGAGGGAUUGUCAAAUGAGCAGAGGGGAAAGGGUCUGCCCUAACAGGCCCUUGGCACACAUAGGAGGAGCAGUUUACUUUUCAUCAUGGAGUAGGAUGUGCAGGGCAGAGCAGUUCAGGUCUGUGUCGUGUCCUUUGUCCGGUCUGUGUUUCGUGUCUUACACUUCACAGUCAGGGUGUCUUUGCUUCCUGCCCUCCAAGGUCUUAUCUGAGAUGCCAAGGCAUCAUUCCUAGGGUCUUGAACCUCUGCACUGCCCAGCUCAGUGCCCAUACCAUCCGUUCUUUGGCUCACUAGCUUGGACGUGCAUCGGAAUCACAUCUGAGAAG